GAGGAUCAUUAUCGUAAAACAGAGGUGCGAGGGCUGUCGCUGACUUGAAAAGGUCGUGCACGCCCGAGCGCUCUCACACAUCCAUCUCACCCCUAUGUGCACCACCGCGUGGGUCCCCUUUUCGAAGGGGGCUCGCGUUUUCACACAAACUCGAAACGCAGUGUAGAAUGUCUUUUUAUUUUUGCGAUCACACGCAAUCAAUACAACUUUCAACAACGGAUCUCUUGGCUCUCGCAUCGAUGAAGAACGCAGCGAAAUGCGAUACGUAAUGUGAAUUGCAGAAUUCAGUGAAUCAUCGAAUCUUUGAACGCACCUUGCGCCCCUUGGCAUUCCGAGGGGCACACCCGUUUGAGUGUCGUGAAAUUCUCAAAACCUUUCUUUUGAAAGGAUUUUGGACUUGGAGGCUUUUUGCUGGCUUCAACUCGAAGCCAGCUCCUCUUAAAUGGAUUAGUGGGGUCCGCUUUGCCGAUCCUUGACGUGAUAAGAUGUUUCUACGUCUUGGGUUUUCGGCACCGUCGCCCGCUUCUAACCGUCUCAUUGACAACGAUGGUGUUCCGGUCACCGCAGAUUCGUCUGCGGGAGGCUUGACCCACGAACGAACCUUGACCUCAAAUCGGGUGAGACUACCCGCUGAACUUAA
rnacentral:rRNA from 1 species